rnacentral:rRNA from 1 species
AUGAACGCUGGCGGCGUGCCUAAUACAUGCAGGUCGAGCGAACAGACGAGGAGCUUGCUCCUCUGACGUUAGCGGCGGACGGGUGAGUAACACGUGGAUAACCUACCUAUAAGACUGGGAUAACUUCGGGAAACCGGAGCUAAUACCGGAUAAUUUAUUGAACCGCAUGGUUCAAUAGUGAAAGACGGUUUUGCUGUCACUUAUAGAUGGAUCCGCGCCGCAUUAGCUAGUUGGUAAGGUAACGGCUUACCAAGGCAACGAUGCGUAGCCGACCUGAGAGGGUGAUCGGCCACACUGGAACUGAGACACGGUCCAGACUCCUACGGGAGGCAGCAGUAGGGAAUCUUCCGCAAUGGGCGAAAGCCUGACGGAGCAACGCCGCGUGAGUGAUGAAGGUCUUCGGAUCGUAAAACUCUGUUAUUAGGGAAGAACAAAUGUGUAAGUAACUAUGCACGUCUUGACGGUACCUAAUCAGAAAGCCACGGCUAACUACGU